rnacentral:rRNA from 1 species
GACGAACGCUGGCGGCGUGCUUAACACAUGCAAGUCGAACGAGUGGCGAACGGGUGAGUAACAUAUCGGAACGUACCGAGUAAUGGGGGAUAACUAAUCGAAAGAUUAGCUAAUACCGCAUAUUAUUCGAGCGGCCGAUAUCUGAUUAGCUGGUUGGUGGGGUAAAGGCCUACCAAGGCGACGAUCAGUAGCGGGUCUGAGAGGAUGAUCCGCCACACUGGGACUGAGACACGGCCCAGACUCCUACGGGAGGCAGCAGUGGGGAAUUUUGGACAAUGGGCGCAAGCCUGAUCCAGCCAUGCCGCGUGUCUGAAGAAGGCCUUCGGGUUGUAAAGGACUUUUGUCAGGGAAGCGGUACCUGAAGAAUAAGCACCGGCUAACUACGUGCCAGCAGCCGCGGUAAUUC